AGAGGGUGAAACUCCCGUCCGCCUGGUAGAAUGAGCCUUUGUCAACGAGUCGAGUUGUUUGGGAUUGCAGCUCUAAUUUGGUGGUAAAUUCCAUCUAAAGCUAAAUAUUGGUGGGAGACCGAUAGCGUACAAGUACCGUGAGGGAAAGAUGCAAAGAACUUUGAAAAGAGGGUUAAAGAGUACCCGAAAUUGCUGAAACGGAAGCGAAGGAAACCAGUGUUUGUUGGUUCAUAUUUCCUUGGCCACUUGUGGUUUGGGCGCUGUGAGCUUGCGUGGGUUGGUUGGUUGAUCCCUUUGGAAGAGCGCAGUCAGAGUUGAUGUCU
rnacentral:rRNA from 1 species